rnacentral:rRNA from 1 species
GAUGAACGCUGACAGAAUGCUUAACACAUGCAAGUCUUUGGCGAAGCUGUGCUUGCACAGCCUAGCCAAGGCGGACGGGUGAGUAACGCGUAAGGAACUUGCCCUGCAGUCAGGGAUAACAGACGGAAACGACUGAUAAGACCUGGUAAAGUCAGGCGGACUCAUGUCCAGCCUGAUGAAAAGAGAUGCUGCAGGGGAGCCUUGCGUCCUAUUAGCUUGUUGGUGGGGUAACGGACCACCAAGGCGAUGAUAGGUAGCCGGCCUGAGAGGGUGGACGGCCACAGGGGGACGGAGCUACGGCGCUUACUCCUGGGGGAGGCAGCAGUGGGGAAUAUUGGACAAUGGGGGCAACGCUGAUCCAGCACUUCUGGGGGCACGAUGAAGGUUUUCGGAUUGUAAAGUGCUUUCAGCAGGGAAGAAAAAAUGACGGUACCUGCAGAAGAAGCGACGGCUAAAUACGUG